rnacentral:rRNA from 1 species
GACGUAGGGCGCGAGCGUUGUCCGGAAUUAUUGGGCGUAAAGCGCGCGCAGGCGGCCUUUUAAGUCUGAUGUGAAAGCCCACGGCUCAACCGUGGAAGGUCAUUGGAAACUGAAAGGCUUGAGUACAGAAGAGGAAAGCGGAAUUCCACGUGUAGCGGUGAAAUGCGUAGAGAUGUGGAGGAACACCAGUGGCGAAGGCGGCUUUCUGGUCUGUAACUGACGCUGAGGCGCGAAAGCGUGGGGAGCAAACAGG